rnacentral:rRNA from 1 species
UACGAAGGGGGCUAGCGUUGCUCGGAAUCACCGGGCGUAAAGCGCACGUAGGCGGCUUUCUAAGUCAGGGGUGAAAUCCUGGAGCUCAACUCCAGAACUGCCUUUGAUACUGGAAAGCUUGAGUCCGGGAGAGGUGAGUGGAACUCCGAGUGUAGAGGUGAAAUUCGUAGAUAUUCGGAAGAACACCAGUGGCGAAGGCGGCUCACUGGCCCGGUACUGACGCUGAGGUGCGAAAGCGUGGGGAGCAAACAGG